UGCUCUCAUAUUUCAACAACUAAUAAGACAAAUCAAACAAAUUAAUCAUAACAAAAUUCUCAAAUCAUGGUUUCAUAACUUCACAAUCCAUGUCAAUGUUUCAUGGUUGGAUUACAAAAACAAAAGCACUAUGUCGUGCUAUUCAAAAAACACCAUGUCCUAAUGUUGAUAUCAUCAAAGUAAUAUCAUCAAUUACAGCUCUCUUGUGUUGCAUCCAUGUUUCCUCGUCCAGCACUCCCUCUUGCAAUUCCACUACCAAUGUCACGACCACGACCACGGCCGCGACUUUGACUAUGUCCUCGGCCUGAUGAGGCAUUACAAGUUGCACUAACUUGUGUAAUUGAUUUAUUUGUCAAAG
rnacentral:lncRNA from 1 species